rnacentral:rRNA from 1 species
GAUGAACGCUGGCUACAGGCUUAACACAUGCAAGUCGAGGGGAAACGACGGGGAAGCUUGCUUCCCCGGGCGUCGACCGGCGCACGGGUGAGUAACGCGUAUCCAACCUGCCUCUGACUGAGGGAUAACCCGUCGAAAGUCGGCCUAAUACCUCAUGGCAUCGUCUGCGGGCAUCCAACGACGAUUAAAGAUUUCAUCGGUCAGGGAUGGGGAUGCGUCUGAUUAGCUUGUUGGCGGGGUAACGGCCCACCAAGGCUACGAUCAGUAGGGGUUCUGAGAGGAAGGUCCCCCACAUUGGAACUGAGACACGGUCCAAACGCCUACGGGAGGCAGCAGUGAGGAAUAUUGGUCAAUGGGCGGGAGCCUGAACCAGCCAAGUAGCGUGCAGGAUGACGGCCCUAUGGGUUGUAAACUGCUUUUAUGCGGGGAUAAAGUGAGGGACGUGUCCUUCAUUGCAGGUACCGCAUGAAUAAGGACCGGCUAAUUCCGU